CAUAGCUAGUACGGUUGCUGGCGUCGCUUCAACAGCAGCAGAUAUCGCCGGACGACCUGCCCGCCAUACUGAAGACCGACGCCAUAUACAACGCGGUCGGGCUGGCCGCCUUCGACUUGUAUGACGACGUUGACUUUGACGAAUGGUUUACAAAUGUGCUAAGCCAAGAGUUGAAAAUAAAGGACAAUAACUACAGAAUUAUUAGGAGACGAGUCUGCCAGUUGAUUGGUCAAUGGUGUGGAGUCCGAGCGUCUCAAUCGCUCCGGCCAGCGAUGUACGAAGCACUGCUAGAACCUCUUUCGAGGCCAGACGAGGACGCAGCAGUGAAGCUAGCAGCGGCUGAAGCGCUGCGAAGCACGAUAGACGACUUCAACUUCGACGUGAAACAGUUCGCACCGUAUGCGCCGCACGCGAUCGCAGCGCUUUACGAGUUG